rnacentral:rRNA from 1 species
GCUGGCGGCAGGCCUAACACAUGCAAGCUCGAGCGGAUGAGAAGAGCUUGCUCUUCGAUUCAGCGGCGGACGGGUGAGUAAUGCCUAGGAAUCUGCCUGGUAGUGGGGGACAACGUUUCGAAAGGAACGCUAAUACCGCAUACGUCCUACGGGAGAAAGCAGGGGACCUUCGGGCCUUGCGCUAUCAGAUGAGCCUAGGUCGGAUUAGCUAGUUGGUGAGGUAAUGGCUCACCAAGGCGACGAUCCGUAACUGGUCUGAGAGGAUGAUCAGUCACACUGGAACUGAGACACGGUCCAGACUCCUACGGGAGGCAGCAGUGGGGAAUAUUGGACAAUGGGCGAAAGCCUGAUCCAGCCAUGCCGCGUGUGUGAAGAAGGUCUUCGGAUUGUAAAGCACUUUAAGUUGGGAGGAAGGGCAUGCACCUAAUACGUGUGUGUCUUGACGUUACCGACAGAAUAAGCACCGGCUAACUCUGUGCCAGCAGCCG